UACGAAGGGGGCUAGCGUUGUUCGGAUUUACUGGGCGUAAAGCGCACGUAGGCGGAUUGUUAAGUCAGGGGUGAAAUCCUGGAGCUCAACUCCAGAACUGCCUUUGAUACUGGCAAUCUUGAGUCCGGAAGAGGUGAGUGGAACUCCUAGUGUAGAGGUGGAAUUCGUAGAUAUUAGGAAGAACACCAGUGGCGAAGGCGGCUCACUGGUCAGGUACUGACGCUGAGGUGCGAAAGCGUGGGGAGCAAACAGG
rnacentral:rRNA from 1 species